UUUCCACAAUCAUAGAUACAAGAAAAGCUUCAAGAGGAACGAGACGAUGCAUGUCGUAUUCGCUCUCAGUUGGAGAGAGAGAAUCAGCGAAAGGCACAACUUACUGUGGAUCUUUCUCAGCAGGUUCGAGUCCUUCUUAAAGAAGUUGAGGAGGCACGAGGGGGUUAUGUGGCAACAACUAGAAGUGACCAAGAUGAAGAGGUAACCUCAACUGACCAGUCAGCUUCCAGUUCUAUCAUUACAAAACAACUCGUUUCGUUUAGGGACAUUGAAGAGCUCCAAAUGAAAAACGAACAGUUAUUGGCAGUGGUACGAGAACUGAGUGAGAAACAGGAAGAAGUUGAAAAGCUGGCUACUCAGGAGAAGUAAGAAUGGAUAGUUUUAAGUAUCGGCUGCAA
rnacentral:lncRNA from 1 species